GCCCGGGUGGCGAAAUGGCAGACGCAGCGGACUCAAAAUCCGCCGGUGGCGACACCAUGGGAGUUCGACCCUCCCCCCGGGCACCA
rnacentral:tRNA from 2 species